UUAAAACAUCAGUUGCCGUACGAUCACCGAAGUUAAGCGACGUCGAACCUGGUCAGUACCUAAAUGGGUAACCGCUUGGGAAUACCGGGUGCUGUAAG